CACGUAGGGCGCAAGCGUUGUCCGGAAUUAUUGGGCGUAAAGAGCUCGUAGGCGGUCUGUUGCGUCUGCUGUGAAAACCCGGGGCUUAACCCCUGGCUUGCAGUGGAUACGGACAGACUAGAGGUAGGUAGGGGAGAAUGGAAUUCCCGGUGUAGCGGUGAAAUGCGCAGAUAUCGGGAGGAACACCGGUGGCGAAGGCGGUUCUCUGGGCCUUACCUGACGCUGAGGAGCGAAAGCGUGGGGAGCGA
rnacentral:rRNA from 1 species